rnacentral:lncRNA from 1 species
GAAAAAUUAAUUGAGGGUGAGAAUAUUUUCGUUAUAAUAGACGAGGAUGCAUCCAAGGCAUUUAUACAAGUAUUACAAGUUUAUUGGGACACAAGUUACAUAAGUCAUAUAACAUAAAAAUAAAAUUCUCAGACCUGUAACCGGUUACACAAAAUCUGUAAUUGGUUAUCGCUUAAGUAAAAUAAAAAUUAAUUAUUAAUGGUUACAACACUUG